rnacentral:lncRNA from 1 species
UUGAUCAAAUAUUAAUGGAUUAUUUGGUCACACCAAAUUCUAUGUCCACCUUAAUUUUACUUUGAUUCCUUAAAAAUAAGUGUUAUCAUGCUAAGCCACCAUUGUGUUCUUUCAGGGAUCCUCGAAAACCUUCAAUGGCAAUAGCACUUUAGUAUAUGGUACGAUUCACCUAGGUGUUUAUUAAUCCCAUUUUCGCAGCAUGCUUCUAGAAUCUUUC